rnacentral:rRNA from 1 species
UACGGAGGGUGCAAGCGUUAUCCGGAUUCACUGGGUUUAAAGGGUGCGUAGGCGGGCAGGUAAGUCAGUGGUGAAAUCCCCCGAGCUUAACUCGGGGAACUGCCAUUGAUACUAUCUGUCUUGAAUAUUGUGGAGGUAAGCGGAAUAUGUCAUGUAGCGGUGAAAUGCUUAGAUAUGACAUAGAACACCUAUUGCGAAGGCAGCUUACUACGCAUAUAUUGACGCUGAGGCACGAAAGCGUGGGGAUCAAACAGG